UAGACGGGAUACUCUCUUCUUACUUUUGGAUCACUAGUAGCAAUUAUUUUAUCGAAGAAUUGUGCUACCGCCAUCUAGUGUUUAGAAGUGGCAGGACGCCCUGCAGUGGGAGGAGAAGGUCUUCUCACUGGGCUUUGAGACAGAAAUCGUUAAGGAACAAGAAAAGAACUCCACUCCUUUUCUGUGAAGCUUGGAGGAGGCUGGAUAAUGCACUGUGGCUGCUUUGCCCCAGAACAUAAACUGGGGCAAAGCAUGGUGAUGGGCCAUGUGAUGGUAAAUGCCCGUACAAGAACUGCAAGGACACUUACAAAGAAAAAAUGAUUGAAAAUGUUUUUUUUAAUUUUCUUGGUAACUUUAAUAUUAGACAUGUUUUCUUCACAAGAAUGUUUAUUUGAAAAAAAAAAUUCUUGUUCAUACUUUGACAAGUGACCCAAUUGCCCCCUCCCCUCUAUAUGACUGGGAAUGUUAUAGAUGAUUGUCAAACAAUGUCAUAUAUCUGUGUUUCUAUAAUACUCACGAAUUAAAAUAUUAUUGUAUUCAUUGUGA